rnacentral:rRNA from 1 species
ACACUCCUACGGGAGGCAGCAGUGGGGAAUAUUGGACAAUGGGCGCAAGCCUGAUCCAGCCAUGCCGCGUGAGUGAUGAAGGCCCUAGGGUUGUAAAGCUCUUUCACCGGUGAAGAUAAUGACGGUAACCGGAGAAGAAGCCCCGGCUAACUUCGUGCCAGCAGCCGCGGUAAUACGAAGGGGGCUAGCGUUGUUCGGAUUUACUGGGCGUAAAGCGCACGUAGGCGGACUAUUAAGUCAGGGGUGAAAUCCCGGGGCUCAACCCCGGAACUGCCUUUGAUACUGGUAGUCUUGAGUUCGAGAGAGGUGAGUGGAAUUCCGAGUGCAGAGGUGAAAUUCGUAGAUAUUCGGAGGAACACCAGUGGCGAAGGCGGCUCACUGGCUCGAUACUGACGCUGAGGUGCGAAAGCGUGGGGAGCAAACAGGAUUAGAAACCCUUGUAGUCCC